rnacentral:rRNA from 1 species
UACAGAGACCUCAAGCGUUAUCCGGAAUCAUUGGGCGUAAAGCGUACCGAUAGGUGGUUUUACAAGUCAGAAGUGAAAUCUCUCAGCUUAACUGGGAGACUGUCUUUUGAAACUGUAAAACUAGAGGGGCAAAGAGGAAGCCGGAACGAACGGUGUAGUAGUGAAAUGCGUUGAUAUCGUUCGGAACACCGAUAGCGUAGGCAGGCUUCUGGGUGCCACCUGACACUGCUAGGACGAAAGCGUGGGGAGCGAAUGGG